AAAUGAAAGUGAAAGGCCGGCCUCGAGCCGGUCGCAGGGAAGAUGCGCGGGCGUCGUCAGACGCCCCGCCGCAUUCCCGAGGCGUUUCGAGAAAGCCCCCGUGCGAUUAUCGAGACGCACUGAGAGCGUACACGCUGGGACCCGAAAGAUGGUGAACUAUGCCUGGUCAGGUCGAAGUCAGGGGAAACCCUGAUGGAGGACCGAAGCGAUUCUGACGUGCAAAUCGAUCGUCCGAACUGGGUAUAGGGGCGAAAGACUAAUCGAACUAUCUAAUAGCUGGUUCCAUCCGAAGUUUCCCUCAGGAUAGCUGGCGCUCGAGAAACAUGACGGUCCUCGGAUCGCCAUUCGCACAGUCUCAUCCGGUAAAGCGAAUGAUUAGAGGCAUUGGGGCCGAAAUGGCCUCAACCUAUUCUCAAACUUUAAAUGGGUGAGAUCUCCUUCUUGCUCGAAGAUGAAGUAGGAGCUCGGAUGGGAGUGCCAAGUGGGCCAAUUUUGGUAAGCAGAACUGGCGCUGUGGGAUGAACCAAACGUCGAGUUAAGGCGCCCAAUGAACGCUCAUCGGAUACCAUAAAAGGCGUUGGUCGCUCAGGACAGCAGGACGGUGGCCAUGGAAGUCGGA
rnacentral:rRNA from 1 species